CAGCUUAAAGAACUGGCUUAGAUUGGUUGAAGCGUUUAUAUAACCAUCAAAAUAUGAAUUGAUACUAUCACUACGAUGAGUUAAGGACAUGUCGGCAAAAAAGGUAUCACGGAGAUAUACUGGGACCCACUGCCGGCGAUCGGAGUAUAUUGCUUGUAGCCACUCAUGAUCUCUUAGCUCAUACUUGUCAAGAAGUGAAAACCAGCAUCUCUCAAAAUCCUCAACCGACUCUGUCAGAUUGACACAUUUGUGGAAAUCUGACUCAAACGAAGGAUGCUUGAGGAAGACAUGCGACAGCUUCUCCUGACAUUUCUUUAAAAUAUGCCAUUUGCAAAAGCGAUGGCGGGCACCAGGAAAAACGUGCAUGAUGGCUGCACGUAUAACAGCAUCAUGAUCGGUGGUGAUUGAGACAGGAGGGUGGGCGGACAUUGCGGCUAGCCACGUAUUGAAAAGCCAUACAAAUGAAGCCUCAGUUUCAUUGAUGAUAAAGGCACAGCCGAAAAGAAUGGGUUGGCCAUGGUGAUUUACACCAGUGAAGGGUGCGAAAGGCAAACGGUACCUGUUGGACCUGUAGGUUGUAUCAAAUGUAACGGUGUCUCCAAAGUGAGUGAAAUCCAUUAUAGCUUUAGGAUCAGCCCAGAAGACAUUACCAACAGACUGAUCUUCGCUUCCCUGAACAGAAUAAAAGAAGUUUGGGUUGUCAGCAUUCAUCUGCCUCAAGUAGUCAAGAAGAAGCUGAAUCUCUCCUUCUAUGCUCUUCUGGCGGUUGUUCCUCAUAUAAUUCCUACAGUCCACUUCGGUGAAACCAACCUUGCUGAUGCCACCAUACUCUUUGAUGAGGGCGGACAUGAUUCUGCGGGGACCCAUUCCUGCAGCUUGAAGUGUGUCAAUCAAAGUCUUGGCAGGGCCAGAGAUUUGCCUGUGGGAACGCAGACAGUGAACUUGGUCGGGAGGAACAAGCUCAUGGUUGUGGUCUUUGACAAAGCCAGAGACAAGCCAUUUACCGGAAUCCUGCAUCUUAACAGAGAGGGAGGCUUUGCAACCGACUCGAGUGAUGGUCCUGGGACGCUUGAUCUCCCUGUCCUUGGUGCGCUUUUCAUUCAUAUUUCUGAAACCUUCUUUGGCACAGACAAAUUGCCUCUGGAUGAUAGCUCCAUCACGGCGGGAGCGGCGGGAGGAACUGACACGGGUACUAAAGCCAAUGCGACGGGCAUACGAGUUGUAGAAUGCCUUGGCAGCUUCUUCGGACUCGAAUUCAAGACCAUCAUAGGGCUCGAGAUCCAGGAGAUCACAAGCCUCCUCCUCCUGGUUGGGAAAGUAAUUUCCAGAAUUGCCAACAAGACCAUUACCGCAAGGCAUAAUUGGGCUGUCGAGCAUAUCAUCGUCGUCGAGAGCAUGGUGCUCAAUAUCAAUAGCGUCGUCAUCAACAUCUCCGCCACUACUAACUCCUACACCAAUAUCGAAGUCGAGCACUUCAUUAUCCAUCAUAUCCUCCUUGUCUUCAGGGAUGAAUUCUAUCUAUCUAUUGUCCACAACAGGAUGAAAUAGCUAGCUACUGUAGAUAGAACCACUUACAGUCGUGAUUUGAUUUCAAGUCUGAGAUUGAGAUUGGGAGGCAGCGAAGACGAGGGAAUGCGCGUUCGUGCGCGGGAGAAACCAGAAAAGAAGAGAUAAGGGAACUUGUAAUUGAUUACGUUAUAAUAACCGAAGAAUGAAAAGGAAGAUGAGAGACGACGGAGGAGGGAGACUGGGAAUAGAGUCGUCGGAGGGCACGGAGGAGGAAGACAGACG